CAAAUAACCCCACUGGGUGACCCUGGUGUUGGUUUCCUAAGAUGUGGAUCAGGGAGUCGUCCAUUUCCUUCGCUUAUGAUGAAAGCACGGAAGCGAUGCGGGCACUCGCUGAGGUCACAAUCACUGCUGGGGUGGCAGCGUUUCCGCCACAGCUGGUGAGCAGAGCUGGUGCUCUGGUGAGCGUGCUGCACACCGAGGCUGAGCUCUGGGCCUUCCGUGGAACAGAUCACCCUGUGAGAGCCCGUCAGAAGCACCGCGUGUGCACUCGUCGGUACUCUCUGCAGGGUUCCUGUCCCAAGGGAGAUUUUGGGAUCGAGGCAUCGCAGGAAGAGGGAAGGCCAGCUCUUUGCAAGGGCCGGGGAAGUUCCUGUGCACAGAGGCCUGGGAACUUCAGCUUCCUCUGAGCCUUCAGCGGCCAUGUCUCAGCACGGAGACGACCGCGGUUCCAAUUGCUGCCGUCUGAGUGGCAAGAAGCGGCGCGGCGCGGUUCCCCGCGGUUGGGAGCAGCAGCCAGCAGGCUGCCAGAGAUCCGACCGCGCCUUCCAGCGCACAGAGGGACGCAACAGGGACGGACGGUCCUUCAUGCCAUACAGAAGUGAGUUUCUUCAGCCCUCUGUCGUGAAGUGUGGAGGAAUGAAUUUUGAGUAUUCCUUCUGGGCGGGUGCAGUGCUGCAGGGGAUGUCAAGUGAGCAUCCAUUUGGAGUGCAGGAAGGAGCAGUGAGAAGUGAACUAUCAAUCAGUUUGUGUUUGGGCUGUCCAAGUAGCCUCUUUCUGUUUUCUGGGGGGACGUGGGCAUACUGGGCAGUACUUCUGCUGCCUGCUGGUGUCUGUGAAAUCAACACACCAUCUGUUGUUGUAGGGACGGAGCCUGCGCGUCCAUGGAGUGGUGCUGGGCAAGGCUGGAAACGCAAAGCCUCCGCAGGUAAGAAGCUCUUGUAAGCUGUGCUGUGGGCAAGUGCCUCUAAACAGGGCAGCAUGGAGGGCAGGGUGUGCGAUGGAGGGGAGAGGAAAGGGCACUCCAGAUCCGUGCUGACUGCAGAAGCGGCAUAAUGUUGUAGCAGCAGAAAGGCAAGCUGAAGAAACUGCUCUUGAAGACCAGAAGUUUGUGGUUGGCUGUGCUCAAAUCUUCCGCCACAGAGAUGCUCUUCAUGUCUUUCUUGUCUCCUUUCUGCCAGAAGCUGAUGCGAGCGGCCUUCCAUCAAAGCGCAGCCUUGCAGAAAGGCAAGGCAGAAGCGCCCAGUGUGGCACAGCACCCAAGAGAGGUACAGACACACAGCAGGCACCUGGGCUUGGUGCACUGUCUCUCUAGUGAGGCUUUCUGUCCGUCCUUUCCUGGGACUGUGGCCGUUGUGUGUUGGUUGUGGUCUUAAUCCUUGGCAUGUACAGUUAGCAUUCCUGUGCUGAUUAGAAAUGUGAACCCACAGUUCAGCCGAGAUCCUAAGAUCCAUGGCCAUGAGCACUCGACAUGAGAUGUCCCAGGAAUGUGACCCGUUUUGCAGACUGAAAGUAGUGUUGGGCUCUCCUUAAAUCUCCUUAUUUUUCCUUUCUUAACAGAGAUUGGUGCUGUGGCAAAUGGAGAGAUCUAUGUCAAAGUGGUCCAGCAGGUCCAUACUGAGAGAGCUUCUCAACAGGCAGCAGCUCAAGCUCCUCUGCAGGCUGGAGGUCUCCCUAUAAGAGCAGGUCCCAGCACAGGGGGAAGAUCUUCCCCUGCCGUGUGCCCCCGCUCUGUCUCCAACACCCAGGCUGGAUGUAAACGCAAGGCCUUGGAGGAAGGGAAGCCAACAGCAGUGCAGCUGCCUUCCAAUAAGAGAGUGAGGGGGCCGAGUGGAGACGGCGUGCCGGCUCCAGCAGCACACCCUGGGCCUGCUGCAGCGCGGAGCUCCAAGCAAAGAGGUGAGAAGGUGCUGUGGUACCCGCCGUGCUGAGGCGCUUCCCUGUGCGAGCACAUUCACUUUGCUCAGGGUUGGCUUUGCUUUUUCCUUCUCUGUGGAGGGGAAAAGAGUGGAAGGCUACAAAGUCCAAAGGCAGUGAGGUGCCAGAACGUGUAACCCUGUCUCUUCCUGUUAACUCUAUGGCAGUCUUCUGCACGCCUCCUGGAAAUGUCAUUCACUGGGAGGCUUCCGAGUCCCAUUUCCUCUGUCUUUUUGCUGCCUUCUGCUUGUACGGCAUGGAUGUUUCUGCCAUUUCACUGUAGACAAAAUGAAUUCAUCUCUUUUUCUUGCCUUACAGAAAGAAGACGACAACGAAAGGAGAGGAGAAAGGAGCUGAAGAAGGCUGCCCUCAGAGCUGCCGCUGCACGUGCAGAGGUGAGUCCUUGGUGAACACAGACAUGGCUCUGGUUGUUCUCAGGGCCUCUGUCUGUCACACAUGAAAGGAAGAGAAUGUAAAAUCCCGAGGGAAGCGGUGUCCUGUUUCUACCCUCGCUCCGUUUCUUCCCAGGCCUCCGCAGUGGACAGCCUUGUGGAGAUGAUGCAGAAGCUGCAGCUGAAGGACUGAGAGGAGGAGCGUCAGCAGGCAGCAGCUUCUGCAGUGCGCGGCGUUACAGGGCAGUGCUGAGUGCCGCCCAUCUCGGCACUCCACCUUCAAACGUAGUCAAUAAACACCAGUCAAAUUUAUAGAUUCACAGAGAGCGCACGGCCUGAUUUGUCCAGCGGCACUUGGAGAGCUGCUGCACCACCUCCUCGUUAUUGGUCUCGCGGCGCUCGCUCAGAACUGCCACAGCUCCGUCAGCGAAUGCUGCCGUCCAGUGAUGCAACGGAGGCAGCAGUCCUUUGCACUGCACACAAACAGACUGUCUGCAAAGCACGUGCAAAGAGCUGCAGGGAACACAGCCUGGCCACGAGCGUGCUAACUUGGAGAGCAACGCUG
ensembl:lncRNA